AUUGAACGCUGGCGGCAGGCCUAACACAUGCAAGUCGAGCGGAUGAGAGGAGCUUGCUUCUCGAUUCAGCGGCGGACGGGUGAGUAAUGCCUAGGAAUCUGCCUGGUAGUGGGGGACAACGUUUCGAAAGGAACGCUAAUACCGCAUACGUCCUACGGGAGAAAGCAGGGGACCUUCGGGCCUUGCGCUAUCAGAUGAGCCUAGGGCGGAUUAGCUAGUUGGUGAGGUAAUGGCUCACCAAGGCGACGAUCCGUAACUGGUCUGAGAGGAUGAUCAGUCACACUGGAACUGAGACACGGUCCAGACUCCUACGGGAGGCAGCAGUGGGGAAUAUUGGACAAUGGGCGAAAGCCUGAUCCAGCCAUGCCGCGUGUGUGAAGAAGGUCUUCGGAUUGUAAAGCACUUUAAGUUGGGAGGAAGGGUUGUAGAUUAAUACUCUGCGACUUUGACGUUACCGACAGAAUAAGCACCGGCAAACUCUGUGCCAGCCGCCGCCGUAAAAC
rnacentral:rRNA from 1 species